CGGUGAGGAACCUGCCUUUCAGAGGGGGACGAACAGUUGGAAACGACUGCUAAUACCGCAUAAUGCAUAGGUAUCGCAUGGUACAGAUGCCAAAGAUUUAUCGCUGAGAGAUGGCCUCGCGUCUGAUUAGCUAGUUGGUAGGGUAACGGCCUACCAAGGCGACGAUCAGUAGCCGGACUGAGAGGUUGGCCGGCCACAUUGGGACUGAGAUACGGCCCAGACUCCUACGGAAGGCAGCAG
rnacentral:rRNA from 1 species